rnacentral:rRNA from 1 species
CAGUAGCCGCGGUAAUACGGAGGGUGCAAGCGUUAAUCGGAAUUACUGGGCGUAAAGCGCACGCAGGCGGUUUGUUAAGUCAGAUGUGAAAUCCCCGAGCUUAACUUGGGAACUGCAUUUGAAACUGGCAAGCUAGAGUCUUGUAGAGGGGGGUAGAAUUCCAGGUGUAGCGGUGAAAUGCGUAGAGAUCUGGAGGAAUACCGGUGGCGAAGGCGGCCCCCUGGACAAAGACUGACGCUCAGGUGCGAAAGCGUGGGGAGCAAACGGGAUUAGAUACCCGAGUAGUCCCUGUCUCUUAUAC